UUUAGAGGACGGAGGGAGUGGAUAGUAAUGGAGUUGAUUUCCUAGUUAAAAAUUACGUUUUCCAAUGAUAAUAGAAUUAGAGUUUUUCGUUUCAUCCCCCAUCCUUAAAUUAGAGUUAAAUAUUGGUUAAGAAAGAUUAUAGGCCACUGUAGCCUUCGGACAUGGUUCUUCUACCUCUUUCCCCAUCUUUAUUCUUCUUUUAUCCUUCCGUUCUAAACCUUGGCUGCAUAAUAGUAAGUGCCCAGUCUUGACACUAUACAUUAUAUGCUUCCAACCCUCUCCAAUUGAGUGUUAAUACAUUUAUGGCUUAUCAUCACAUAUAAUUCAUCGAAGCAAUCAAAAUGCAAGGAUAAUAUUGUGGCAGUAAGACCUAUGCAGCUAGCAAAGAAAGCUUAAUAAAGUCACCAGCUAGUUACCCACUUUUUUCAUUUGGAUUUCUUCAGAUUGCUUAACCUUUCGUUCUGUGAGAGAUUUCCCUUUUCUUCUGUUUUGAUACAUUAAUGUUGGAAUGAUGGGGAUGUGUUUGUAUAGAUUGGUCCACUCAUACUGUCCAUCUAGUCUCAAUCAAAUUUUACCACGAAUUUGUUACCUCAGGCUUGCUCCUCUUCGGCUGAUCCAACUCCAAAGUUUAUGUUAUCCUUAAAUGCCAAAAGUUCUCCAACUGGGCGAGUAUAGUUAAGUUUAGCCCAGUCUGCUCCGCAUAUGCAGCUAAAGUUAUUGAUUUCCUUCAUAAACACCACUUUUCUUCACUUCUAAUAUUGUCAUUAAGGAUUUCAAUUAAGAGUAGUUUUUUUCCCCUAGACAAUCAUUUCAUUAAAAGACGUCAACACUAACACUACUUGACUAGUCAAUUAUUUAACCCAUUCUUUACCUGUACCCAGUCAAAGAGGAUGCAAUUAAUUUUCUGAUCUAAUCAUUUUUAAAUAUAUUGAUCCGUAGCAUAUGGAGUUCUGAUCCUCGUAUAUCCAACUCUUUCUAAACAAAUAUUUCUUAUCUUUCUUCUACUACAAAUCAAUUCCUU
rnacentral:lncRNA from 1 species